AUUACAUACUUCAGGCUAUAUUUUAUGAAUACUUUUGAAAUAUCUUUGGAUUUUUUCUAUCUGUAUGAAUUUUAACCCUUUUUGGGAGUGGAAAGUUGAACAUGAGGCCCGUCGAAUGCCAUGCAUACUCACACAUUCCUGAUCACAAUUGAAUUGUGCCAAAGAUUUAUUUAAACCAAAGAGAUGAUUUAUCCGCCAGUUACCACCACAAAGAGCAAAGAACGAACAAAGGAAUUGCCAUUUCUGGAUAUUCCGACACAAAAGGUUAUCCCACACGUGGUGCGAAAGUUCAAUGCUGGAGAUUCACUACUAAAUACCAAGUCUGCCACAUUCAAUACCCUUUUUCCAAAAAAAAAACAAAGUAUUUCAUAUGCUUAACGAACAGGUAUAGAAAGCGAAAAUUACCUUUGAUGGAAUGAAAGAAGAAACAACGAUGGGAAAGCAGAUUUCUUAGCGGGAUUAAAGUUUCUUCGAUGCUGCGCCAAAAACGAAAUGAAUUUAUUGAAUUCGUUAUUGGGGUUUUUUUUUUUGUUCCUAAAUUGUACCGAAAAAGAGACAUUUAGCGAAAUUGGCCAGCAAAAGCCAAUAAACAUUCCAAAUCACA